GUCGACGUACUUCAUAGGAUCAUUUCUAUAGGAAUCGUCACUCUUUGACUCUUCAAACGAGCCACUGAAUCCAACUUGGAUGAUGAGUGAUAAUUACCUUUGCGCCCGAAAGUGAGAUUGAGUUUUUGACUAAGGUCAAAGCUUAGAUAUUAGAGGUUCCCUCGGGAAGUUUGGUAGUGUUUUGCAAUCCUUAGCGGUUCGAAUGACCAUCUUAUAUUCUCUUUUAUCGCUCCCUGAAGCACUGAACACGAACUUCGGUUUGUGUUUUGUGUUUUCUCCAUCAGCUAUGGAUGUUCAUUUGGUAAUGUGACAGUUUCGGACUGUCAUUUAUCAUUCUUUCUAAAGUAUUUACUCUUCAGUAGAACUUUUUAAAGCUCUGGCUUCUAUGUUUUUUUCUGCUGGUAUUUUUUGUUUGUUGUUUCGGCAACACUCUAAAAUAAACUGGCGCGAUGAUCUUUAUCCUUUCCAUGUACUUCUGGUAUUUUACCUAGAAGAUGAUGGUGUUACAAGGAUGGGUGCAAAUGGCAGUCUGACAAGU
rnacentral:snoRNA from 1 species